rnacentral:rRNA from 1 species
CAGCCGCCGCGGUAAUACGAAGGGUGCAAGCGUUAAUCGGAAUUACUGGGCGUAAAGCGUGCGUAGGCGGUGAGUUAAGUCUGCUGUGAAAUCCCCGGGCUCAACCUGGGAAUGGCAGUGGAUACUGGCUCGCUAGAGUGUGUCAGAGGAUGGUGGAAUUCCCGGUAUAGCGGUGAAAUGCGUAGAGAUCGGGAGGAACAUCAGUGGCGAAGGCGGCCAUCUGGGACAACACUGACGCUGAGGCACGAAAGCGUGGGGAGCAAACAGGAUUAGAUACCCGCGUAGUCCCUGUCUCUUAUAC